CAGUCGCCGCGGUAAUACCGAGGGUGCGAGCGUUAAUCGGAUUUACUGGGCGUAAAGCGUGCGUAGGAGGCUUCUUAAGUCGGAUGUGAAAUCCCUGAGCUUAACUUAGGAAUUGCAUUCGAUACUGGGAAGCUAGAGUAUGGGAGAGGAUGGUAGAAUUCCAGGUGUAGCGGUGAAAUGCGUAGAGAUCUGGAGGAAUACCGAUGGCGAAGGCAGCCAUCUGGCCUAAUACUGACGCUGAGGAGCGAAAGCGUGGGGAGCGAACAGGAUUAGAUACCCGAGUAGUCCCUGUCUCUUAUCA
rnacentral:rRNA from 1 species